rnacentral:rRNA from 1 species
CAGUCGCCGCGGUAAUACGUAGGUGGCAAGCGUUGUCCGGAAUUAUUGGGCGUAAAGCGCGCGCAGGCGGAUAGGUCAGUCUGUCUUAAAAGUUCGGGGCUUAACCCCGUGAUGAGAUGGAAACUGCCAAUCUAGAGUAUCGGAGAGGAAAGUGGAAUUCCUAGUGUAGCGGUGAAAUGCGUAGAUAUUAGGAAGAACACCAGUGGCGAAGGCGACUUUCUGGACGAAAACUGACGCUGAGGCGCGAAAGCCAGGGGAGCGAACGGGAUUAGAUACCCCAGUAGUCCCUGUCUCUUAUACA